CGGUAAGUCUACAACAAGAGACAGAUACUUUACUUCAGUGGUCAGAUACCAAAGUAGAGAAAGCUGGAGAACGUAUAUUUCGUGUUGGUUCAGUUCGCUACAUAAUGGAUCCUUCCAGGCAGACACUUCAGAGGAUUUCAGAUGAUGAAUCCCUGUCCUCUGCCUCAAUCAAUCUGGUUUGCUCAUGUUGUUUUAUCUUUUAAAAGAUGAAUUGGUCUCUCUCAUACUUGGCUGAUGUCAUGUUUUCUUUAUAAAU